rnacentral:rRNA from 1 species
AUUGAACGAUGGCGGCAGGCCUAACACAUGCAAGUCGAGCGGAUGAAGGGAGCUUGCUCCUGGAUUCAGCGGCGGACGGGUGAGUAAUGCCUAGGAAUCUGCCUGGUAGUGGGGGAUAACGUCCGGAAACGGGCGCUAAUACCGCAUACGUCCUGAGGGAGAAAGUGGGGGAUCUUCGGACCUCACGCUAUCAGGUGAGCCUAGGUCGGAUUAGCUAGUUGGUGGGGUAAAGGCCUACCAAGGCGACGAUCCGUAACUGGUCUGAGAGGAUGAUCAGUCACACUGGAACUGAGACACGGUCCAGACUCCUACGGGAGGCAGCAGUGGGGAAUAUUGGACAAUGGGCGAAAGCCUGAUCCAGCCAUGCCGCGUGUGUGAAGAAGGUCUUCGGAUUGUAAAGCACUUUAAGUUGGGAGGAAGGGCAGUAAGUUAAUACCUUGCUGUUUUGACGUUACCAACAGAAUAAGCACCGGCUAACUUCGUG